CACCUGUGACCAGGAUUUAGUGGCUUGGUUAUGGCAACUUUAUACUUUUCAAAACUGUUAAAUUAAAACAGAUUCUGUUUAGAUUAGAUAUAAGGAAGAAAAUUUUUAUAAGAGUGGUGAAACACCCGACAAGUUGCCCAGAGACGUGGUAGAGGCCUCACCCCUGGAACCGUUUGAGGCCUGGUUGGACUGGGCUCUGGGCAAGCUGAUCCUGAAGAAGUCCAUACUCAUUGCAGGGGAGUUGGACUAGAUGACCUUUAGAAGGUCCCUUCCAACCCAAACUGUUCUAAGAUAUUUAUCAGAUAUGUUAGGCAAGGCCCAUAAGUGGAGGGGAAUAGGAAGGGAAGGACUGUGAGAAAACUCCUUUUCUCUAAAGUAUCUGCCAGUGCUUUUCAGUCUGCCUUACACCAGUGAAAACAGAAAUAGCUCCUGGAGGUGUGGAAUAGAGACAAGGUCCUGGCCCACAUGAGGGUUCAUGUCUUCCACUCAUAUGAGUGCCUUGGAAAUGCUGUAGUACUGCAAGAGAGGCCCUUCCUGCCUCCAGGGAGAGGAGCUGUGUACCAUGGACACCAACAGUCUCCAGAGGAGGCUCCCCACUGCCUGGAGCAGGAAGGGAGACCUCCUGGUCAAUGGUGACAGUUUUCUUUGUGAUGAUCAUGCGUAUCCAUGCUGUUCUUCCAGUGCUCCCAGGUUUAAUUGGUUCAAGUAGUAGAAAUUACCUUGCCAGAACAGUGCCUUGUUUUCAGAUAUUGUGAGAAGCACACAGAGGAUGCUGCUAACUGUUGCACGUCAUUGGAUCGUGCAUCUAAAUCUGGAAAGCUCAGAACUCAUUGACUGUGAAUCAUUCCUGGUUGUACAAUACCAGCAGGCAUCAUAUUGUCAGAAAAUUAACUUUCCAUCAAAAAGCUUUAAAUGUUGCUUUGGCAUAUAUAUCAAGAGAAAGUGUAUAUCAUCUGUCACUGGUGUCCCCUUCCAUUGAGUAGUUCCUGUUCCUCAGAGAUGUCACUGCCAAGUGUUCCUGUGCUGAGUGAAGAGGAUCUCAGUGCCUGGCCAGAGGCCCACUGAUAGGGCAUGAAAGGUGGCACAGCUACCAUGUGUUAGAUGGGUUGCUGCCAGGUUAUGUGUCUGUUUGGCAAAACUGGAAACUUUCUAGGGGGACUUUUAAUAUUUUUGAGAUUAAAUCUAAACUGAUGCACUGAUUGAUGGGGGUUGGCAAAGUGGUGAUUGCUCUGAGUGACAAAAAGCAGGAACUGAUUUGCCACUGGAAACACAAUUCAACCAUACAAAAGCUGUGCUUUAUUCCUGAUGACGAGUUCCUGGAGAUGAAAGCCAUACAUCCCUGUUUAGAUGCUGAAAUCUUCGGAUAUUCCCUUUUUGAAAAAGUGUGAGAUAACAGAGGUGUCUGAGCAUGUGCAGAGUGAAAGGAGAAAAAAAACAAGAGUGUUUUUUAUAGUGUUUGUUGUUGUUGUUGUUUUCCUAAGGUGUAUUCCGGGCAUAAAUUUUAUACCUUUAUGUUUGUUCUCUGCACAGUAGAGAUAUGCACAGAAACUUGCCAUGGGAAAGGUCAUGCAUUGGAGGAAAAAAGGUCAUGGCAUGGGAAAGCAGGAUACCUAGGAAUGAACUGAUAAAAGUGUCUGCUCCUCAUGGCAAGAGCCAAAGCCCCUGAAAGGACCUACCCUGUCAGGACCUUCUCUAUCCCAGUAGCCCUGGAUGUGUUGA